rnacentral:sRNA from 1 species
CAUAUAUGUUAUGAUGGUAUGAUACUAAACCCCUAACGGGAAGGAUUGUGCCUGAUGUUCAUAUG